rnacentral:rRNA from 1 species
UACAGAGGGGGCAAGCGUUGUUCGGAAUUACUGGGCGUAAAGGGCGCGUAGGCGGCCCGCUAAGUCGAACGUGAAAUCCCCGGGCUCAACCCGGGAACUGCGUCCGAUACUGGCGGGCUUGAAUCCGGGAGAGGGAUGCGGAAUUCCAGGUGUAGCGGUGAAAUGCGUAGAUAUCGCUUGGAACGCCGACGGUGAAAACAGUCUGCUGGGGGUGUGCUGACGCUGAGACACGAAAGCCAGGGGAGCGAACGGG